rnacentral:rRNA from 1 species
UUGAACGCUGGCGGCAGGCCUAACACAUGCAAGUCGAGCGGAUGAAGGGAGCUUGCUCCUGGAUUCAGCGGCGGACGGGUGAGUAAUGCCUAGGAAUCUGCCUGGUAGUGGGGGAUAACGUCCGGAAACGGGCGCUAAUACCGCAUACGUCCUGAGGGAGAAAGUGGGGGAUCUUCGGACCUCACGCUAUCAGAUGAGCCUAGGUCGGAUUAGCUAGUUGGUGGGGUAAAGGCCUACCAAGGCGACGAUCCGUAACUGGUCUGAGAGGAUGAUCAGUCACACUGGAACUGAGACACGGUCCAGACUCCUACGGGAGGCAGCAGUGGGGAAUAUUGGACAAUGGGCGAAAGCCUGAUCCAGCCAUGCCGCGUGGGUGAAGAAGGUCUUCGGAUUGUAAAGCACUUUAAGUUGGGAGGAAGGGCAGUAAGUUAAUACCUUGCUGUUUUGACGUGACCAACAGAAUAAGCACAGGCGAACUUCGU